AUGCUCACAUCAGCAGCACAUAUACUCAAGUCAGAAUGAUACAGGGAAGAUUAGCAUGGCCCCUGUGAAUGAGUAACUUCAAAUUUCUAAAGUGCUCUAUAUUUUU
ensembl:snRNA U6 U6 spliceosomal RNA